CGCAGUUCAACUUUUGAAGGACCUCGGUGUCAAGACAGAAAUGCCCUCGUUCCUUGGACCCAAAGAAAAACAAUUCCAGACAAACAGCGCUAAUCACAGUCGAUUGGUCACAAAGGUAAUGAUGAAGAUGACCUAUUGACAGCCGCGCGUCUGAUAUCAAUGAGCCGCCGUGAGAACCUCUUGCAAGCAAGGGUCGAAGAAGAAGGACUUGACCAUCUGACUAAGUCCUCCGGUUGGGCACUAUUGUCUGAACCUGGUGUGGUGCCGGACUUUCCAAAGCUGGACGAGUCCGACCUUAGGACUUUGACUGUUGGUGUUUACCAACUUAAGCUUGCGCCAUCCUACGUACAAGAGCACCUUGAUGAACAUGGCAACUUCGAUAUCUUUGUCCGCGAGCAAUCGCCUGGCCUUCUUUGUAUUAAAAUACAGAGCAGGCAUAUGUCAGCUAUCAGAUACAAAUGCUGGGUUGGGUAUAACGAGGGCGCCAUUAAUGGGUGGUACUGUAAAUGUAAGUCGGGGGCCAGGGUUGUUGGCAUGUGCGCCCACAUAACAGCGGUUGUAUGGCACUUGUCAUACCAGCGUCACGAUGUCAUGGCACGCGGUGUCAGGAACUGGACCGAUGCUCUAAUUGACACA